rnacentral:rRNA from 1 species
AUUGAACGCUGGCGGCAGGCCUAACACAUGCAAGUCGAGCGGAUGAAGGGAGCUUGCUCCUGGAUUCAGCGGCGGACGGGUGAGUAAUGCCUAGGAAUCUGCCUGGUAGUGGGGGAUAACGUCCGGAAACGGGCGCUAAUACCGCAUACGUCCUGAGGGAGAAAGUGGGGGAUCUUCGGACCUCACACUAUCAGAUGAGCCUAGGUCGGAUUAGCUAGUUGGUGGGGUAAAGGCCUACCAAGGCGACGAUCCGUAACUGGUCUGAGAGGAUGAUCAGUCACACUGGAACUGAGACACGGUCCAGACUCCUACGGGAGGCAGCAGUGGGGAAUAUUGGACGAUGGGCGAAAGCCUGAUCCAGCCAUGCCGCGUGUGUGAAGAAGGUCUUCGGAUUGUAAAGCACUUUAAGUUGGGAGGAAGGGCAGUAAGUUAAUACCUUGCUGUUUUGACGUUACCAACAGAAUAAGCACCGGCUAACUUCGUG